CGGGAUAAUAAGUCAGUGGUGAAAUCCUGCGGCUUAACCGUAGAAUUGUCAUUGAUACUGUUAUUCUUGAGUUCAGUUGAGGUGGGCGGAAUGUAUAAUGUAGCGGUGAAAUGCUUAGAUAUUAUACAGAACACCGAUUGCGAAGGCAGCUCACUAAGCUGAUACUGACGCUGAGGCACGAAAGCGUGGGGAGCGAACAGGAUUAGAUACCCUGGUAGUCCACGCUGUAAACGAUGAUCACUCGCUGUUGGCAAUACAUCGUCAGCGGCUGAGCGAAAGCAUUAAGUGAUCCACCUGGGGAGUACGUCGGCAACGAUGAAACUCAAAGGAAUUGACGGGGGCCCGCACAAGCGGUGGAACAUGUGGUUUAAUUCGAUGAUACGCGAGGAACCUUACCUGGGCUUAAAUGCAGAACGACGGUUCCCGAAAGGGAUCCUUCUUCGGACGGACUGCAAGGUGCUGCAUGGUUGUCGUCAGCUCGUGCCGUGAGGUGUCGGGUUAAGUCCCAUAACGAGCGCAACCCCUAUUGUUAGUUGCCAGCGAGUAAUGUCGGGGACUCUAACGAAACUGCCGGUGUAAACCGAGAGGAAGGUGGGGAUGACGUCAAAUCAGCACGGCCCUUAUGUCCAGGGCUACACACGUGUUACAAUGGACGAUACAGAGGGAAGCUACUUGGCGACAAGAUGCUAAUCUCGAAAAUCGUUCUUAGUUCGGAUUGGAGUCUGCAACUCGACUUCAUGAAGCUGGAAUCGCUAG
rnacentral:rRNA from 1 species